rnacentral:tRNA from 1 species
GCUAUUAUAGUUUAAUAUAGAAUUUAUAACUUGUAAUUAUAAGGUUUGUGGUAGCU